AGCUGCAGAAGAAGCACCGGCUAACUCCGUGCCAGCAGCCGCGGUAAUACGGAGGGUGCGAGCGUUAAUCGGAAUUACUGGGCGUAAAGCGCAUGCAGGUGGUUUGUUAAGUCAGAUGUGAAAGACCCGGGGCGUCAACCUCGGAAUAGCAUUUGAAACUGGCAGACUAGAGUACUGUAGAGGGGGGUAGGAAUUUCAGGUGUAGCGGUGAAAUGCGUAGAGAUCUGAAGGAAUACCGGUGGCGAAGGCGGCCCCCUCGGACAGAUACUGACACUCAGAUGCGAAAGCGUGGGGAGCAAACAGGAUUAGAUACCCCUGGUAG
rnacentral:rRNA from 1 species